rnacentral:rRNA from 1 species
GAUGAAGCCCAGCUUGCUGGGUGGAUUAGUGGCGAACGGGUGAGUAACACGUGGGUGAUCUGCCCUGCACUUCGGGAUAAGCCUGGGAAACUGGGUCUAAUACCGGAUAGGACCUCGGGAUGCAUGUUCCGGGGUGGAAAGGUUUUCCGGUGCAGGAUGGGCCCGCGGCCUAUCAGCUUGUUGGUGGGGUAACGGCCCACCAAGGCGACGACGGGUAGCCGGCCUGAGAGGGCGACCGGCCACACUGGGACUGAGACACGGCCCAGACUCCUACGGGAGGCAGCAGUGGGGAAUAUUGCACAAUGGGCGCAAGCCUGAUGCAGCGACGCCGCGUGAGGGAUGACGGCCUUCGGGUUGUAAACCUCUUUCAGUACCGACGAAGCGCAAGUGACGGUAGGUACAGAAGAAGCACCGGCCAACUACGUGCCAGCAGCCGCGGUAAUACGUAGGGUGCGAGCGUUGUCCGGAAUUACUGGGCGUAAAGAGCUCGUAGGCGGUUUGUCGCGUCGUCUGUGAAAACCCGCAGCUCAACUGCGGGCUUGCAGGCGAUACGGGCAGACUUGAGUACUGCAGGGGAGACUGGAAUUCCUGGUGUAGCGGUGAAAUGCGCAGAUAUCAGGAGGAACACCGGUGGCGAAGGCGGGUCUCUGGGCAGUAACUGACGCUGAGG